AUUCAGCUGACGAGUCUCAAAUAAGAUGAAACGCGCGUCCUAGAU
rnacentral:hammerhead_ribozyme from 1 species